rnacentral:rRNA from 1 species
GACGAACGCUGGCGGCGUGCUUAACACAUGCAAGUCGAACGGGCCCGCUCUCUUUUUUGGGGGUGGGUUGAGUGGCGAACGGGUGAGUAUCACGUGAGUAACCUGCCCCCUGCUCCUGGAUAACUGCUUGAAAGGGCGGCUAAUACGGGGUGUGCCGGCUGGUCCGCAUGGGCCUGGUCGGGAUAGUUUCAUCUUCGGGUGUUUCGGUGGGGAUGGGCUCGCGGCCUAUCAGCUUGUUGGUGGGGUGAUGGCCCACCAAGGCGGUGACGGGUAGCCGGCCUGAGAGGGUGGGCGGCCACACUGGGACUGAGACACGGCCCAGACUCCUGCGGGAGGCAGCAGUGGGGGGUAUUGCACAAUGGGCGGAAGCCUGAUGCAGCGCCGUCGCGUGAGGGAUGGAGGCCUUCGGGUUGUGAACCUCUUUCUCCGGUGGUGAAGGCCCUGUCCGUUGCGGCGGGGUUGACGGUAGCCGGGUAUGAAGCGCCGGCUAACUACGUG